rnacentral:rRNA from 1 species
UACGUGAGGGGCAAACGUUGUUCGGUGUCACUGGGCUUAAAGGGCGCGUAGGUGGCUGGGCAAGUAAGGUGUGAAAGCCCUCGGCUUACCCGAGGAAGGGCGCCUUAGACUGCCCGGCUUGAGGACCAGAGAGGCCGGAGGAACUCUAGGUGUAGCGGUGAAAUGCGUAGAUAUCUGGGGGAAGGCCGGUGGCGAAGGCGUCCGGCUGGCUGGUUCCUGACACUGAGGCGCGAAAGCGUGGGGAGCAAACAGGAUUAGAUACCCUGGUAGUCCACGCCCUAAACGAUGGACACUAAGCGGGUAGCCACCAAAGGCCGCCUGCCGUAGCGCAAGCGUUAAGUGUCCCGCCUGGGGAGUAUGGCCGCAAGGCUGAAACUCAAAUGAAUUGACGG